CCUACGGGAGGCAGCAGUGGGGGAUAUUGCACAAUGGGGGAAACCCUGAUGCAGCGAUGCCGCGUGAAUGAAGACGGCCUUCGGGUUGUAAAGUUCUGUCGCAGGGGACGAAAAUGACGGUACCCUGCAAGAAAGCUCCGGCUAACUACGUGCCAGCAGCCGCGGUAAUACGUAGGGGGCGAGCGUUGUCCGGAAUGACUGGGCGUAAAGGGAGUGUAGGCGGCAUAUUAAGUUAUGUGUGAAAGCCCGCGGCUCAACCGCGGAAUUGCACAUAAAACUGGUAAGCUGGAGUGCAGGAGAGGUAAGUGGAAUGCCCGGUGUAGCGGUGGAAUGCGUAGAGAUCGGGAGGAACACCAGAGGCGAAGGCGACUUACUGGACUGUAACUGACGCUGAGGCUCGAAAGCGUGGGGAGCAAACAGGAUUAGAUACCCGGGUAGUC
rnacentral:rRNA from 1 species